CGGCGAUUAGUCUAAUCAAGACAAUUAAUUUCGACUUAAUAAAUCCUAGCUUCCUCUAGGACCGCCUA
rnacentral:tRNA from 1 species